UGGUCUAGGAGACCAAGGCUUCCAGAAUGGGAGCCCUGAGAAUACUCUCAUCUCCAAAAUCAGGUCCAUAUAUUCAGAAACUUGCCAUCACCUGUUACAGACCGAGGAGGCUAUACAGUAAGUAGAGCAUAAAGGGCAUUUCAAGAUGCCAGAGCAAUGAGUUUUCUAGGAAAUAAUGGUGUAAUUAAAACACACAAACUAGCAGAGGACGUUUAUGAUGACUCAGAUGUGUUGUGAUUAUCUUCUAUAGUUAAAGGCAGUGGUUCUCAAACUUUUGCGGGCAUCAGAAUCCCCUGGAGAGCUAGUUAAAACACAGAUUGCUGCCCACCUCCCAGAUUCCAUAGGCCUGGGUGGGGCCUGAUAAGUGGCAUUUCUAGCAAGUGCCCAGGUGGUGCUAGAGCUGCAAGUUCAAGCACCGGGGCUGAUGUAAUGCAAGAGGAAAUUGUUUUCUGGUGGGACUCAGCCCUGAGCUAUCAAUAAAAAGCAGAGAAGACAGAGGUCCCAGACGCAGAGAUGACCAGAGCUGGAGGUGUUCAGAGUUUGAUUUCUUCCUCCAGGGCAGAACAUAGGAAACACUGGAAUGUAAUAUAAUCUUCAUUUUCUUCAUUCAAUUCUUUAAGGCCAAAGAUGAAGACAGGUUUGAUUGCUCUGAACGUUUUCGUCAAUGUGCAGUAGCCUCACUAGCAGCAAUUCCAAUGGUAAAAAAUAAAAAAGAACCUGAGAACACAGGCCCAGGAGAGCUCUGACAGCAAAUGAUACCAUUUCUUCACGCAGCUUUGACAAUGAGACCCUAUGGCGGAUCUCAGACCCUUUGAGGGUGGCCGAUUCUGCAAACAACAUGUAAAUAAUAGUUGAUUACCCCUCUUCUCUACUCGGACUCUGCUCAAAAUUGGUAGGAAGUCUAAGAGGAGCAGAUGCCUAAACCCUUCACACCCCCAGAAGGGAAAGAAAAAUGAGAUUACUCCUAUUGGUGGUUCACUCUCAUGAAAUCUCAGAACUCGUCAUCUGGG